rnacentral:rRNA from 1 species
UCCGUAGGUGAACCUGCGGAAGGAUCAUUAGAGAUCGCCGAAAGGCAUCACACGCACAGUGCACCCACACAAUUUACAAAAAGUCCCGAACGUGAUGACAUUAACAAUGACAACUUUCAACAACGGAUCUCUUGGCUCUCGCAUCGAUGAAGAACGCAGCGAAACGCGAUAUGUAAUGUGAAUUGCAGAAUUCAGUGAAUCAUCGAAUCUUUGAACGCACCUUGCGCCUUCUGGUAUUCCGGAAGGCAUGCCUGUUUGAGUGUCAUGUGGAAUCGACCCGCCGGGUUUCCGGCGUGGAUCGGACUUGGGCGCUGCCUUCCCCGGCUCGCCUCAAACGUGUUAGCGGGUUCAAGACGUCAUAAGUCUCGUCCAGGGCCCGCUCACAGAACCCACUCUUUUGACUCUGACCUCAAAUCAGGUAGGACUACCCGCUGAACUUAAGCAUAUCAAUAAGCGGAGGA